AGAGUUUGAUCCUGGCUCAGGACGAACGCUGGCGGCGUGCUUAACACAUGCAAGUCGAACGGUGAAGUCCCUUCGGGGGCGGAUCAGUGGCGAACGGGUGAGUAACACGUGGGCAAUCUGCCCCUCACUGUGGGAUAACUCCGGGAAACCGGGGCUAAUACCGCAUAUGAAGCCUGGCGGCAUCGCCGGGUUUGGAAAGUUUUUCGGUGAGGGAUGAGCCCGCGGCCUAUCAGCUUGUUGGUGAGGUAAUGGCUCACCAAGGCGACGACGGGUAGCCGGCCUGAGAGGGCGACCGGCCACACUGGGACUGAGACACGGCCCAGACUCCUACGGGAGGCAGCAGUGGGGAAUAUUGGGCAAUGGGCGAAAGCCUGACCCAGCGACGCCGCGUGCGGGAUAGUAAGCUUCGGGUUGUAAACCGCUUU
rnacentral:rRNA from 1 species